rnacentral:rRNA from 1 species
AGCAGUAGCCGCGGGAAUACGGAGGGUGCAAGCGUUAAUCGGAAUUACUGGGCGUAAAGCGUGCGUAGGCGGUUCGUUAAGUCUGUUGUGAAAGCCCCGGGCUCAACCUGGGAAUGGCAAUGGAUACUGGCGAGCUAGAGUGUGUCAGAGGAUGGUGGAAUCCCCGGUGUAGCGGUGAAAUGCGUAGAGAUCGGGAGGAACAUCAGUGGCGAAGGCAGCUCGCUGGGACGUUACUGACACUGAGACGCGAAAGCGUGGGGAGCGAACAGGAUUAGAUACCCCAGUAGUCCCUGUCUCUUAUAC